GUAAUAGCUCACUAGUCGAGAGGUCCUGCGCCGAAAAUGUCCGGGGCUGAAACACACUACCGAAGCUUGGGAAUUGACGAAUGUUAAUUGGUAGAGGAGCAUUCUUAACGGGGCGAAGCUGUACCGGAAGGAGCAGUGGACUGUUAAGAAGAGAGAAUGCCGGAAUGAGUAGCGAGAGGAAGGUGAGAAUCCUUCCGGCCGAAUAUCUAAGGUUUCCAGAGUAAAGCUGAUCUGCUCUGGGUAAGUCGGGGCCUAAGGCGAGGUCGAAAGACGUAGUCGAUGGAUAACAGGUAAAGAUUCCUGUACUGUAUCAUAACAGAACUGUGGGGACGCAGACAGAGAGCAUAAGCCGGGAAUGGAAAGACCGGUACAAGCGAGGUAGGAGUGCAUCAGGCAAAUCCGGUGCACAAUCUGAAGACGUGAUGUGGGGCGUAAAGCCGGAAGUAUGUGAGCUGGCUGCCAAGAAAAGCCGCUAUUGUUUAUGAUAUACCCGUACCGUAAACCGACACAGGUGGAUGAGGAGAGAAUCCUAAGGCCGACGGGAGAAGCAUUGUUAAGGAACUCGGCAAAAUGACUCCGUAACUUCGGGAGAAGGAGUGCCAUGUAAAAGUGGCCGCAGAGAAUUGGCCCAAGCAACUGUUUAGCAAAAACACAGGUCUAUGCAAAACCGAAAGGUGAGGUAUAUGGGCUGACGCCUGCCCGGUGCUGGAAGGUUAAGGGGAGAGGUUAGCGCAAGCGAAGCUUUGAACUUAAGCCCCAGUAAACGGCGGCCGUAACUAUAACGGUCCUAAGGUAGCGAAAUUCCUUGUCGGGUAAGUUCCGACCCGCACGAAAGGCGUAAUGAUUUGGGCACUGUCUCAACAAUGCACCCGGUGAAAUUGAAAUACCAGUGAAGAUGCUGGUUACCUGCGCCAGGACGGAAAGACCCCAUGGAGCUUUACUCCAGCUUGAUACUGGGAUUCGGUAUUGCAUGUACAGGAUAGGUGGGAGGCUAAGAAGUGGUAACGCCAGUUGCCAUGGAGCCGCUGUUGGGAUACCACCCUUGCAGUACUGGGUUUCUAACCAGCAGCCGUGAUCCGGCUGGGGGACAAUGUCAGGUGGGGAGUUUGACUGGGGCGGUCGCCUCCGAAAGGGUAUCGGAGGCGCUCAAAGGUUCCCUCAGAAUGGUUGGAAACCAUUCGAAGAGUGCAAAGGCAGAAGGGAGCUUGACUGCGACACCGACGGGUGGAGCAGGUACGAAAGUAGGACUUAGUGAUCCGGUGGUAUAAAGUGGGAUUGCCAUCGCUCAACGGAUAAAAGCUACCCUGGGGAUAACAGGCUUAUCACUCCCAAGAGUUCACAUCGACGGAGUGGUUUGGCACCUCGAUGUCGGCUCAUCGCAUCCUGGGGCUGAAGUAGGUCCCAAGGGUUGGGCUGUUCGCCCAUUAAAGCGGUACGCGAGCUGGGUUCAGAACGUCGUGAGACAGUUCGGUCCCUAUCCGGCGUGGGCGUAAGAUAUUUGAGAGGAGCUGUCCUUAGUACGAGAGGACCGGGAUGGACUGGCCGCUGGUGUAUCUGUUGUCUUACCAAAGGCAUAGCAGAGUAGCCAAGCCGGGAAGGGAUAAACGCUGAAGGCAUCUAAGCGUGAAGCCCCCCUCAAGAUGAGAUAUCCCAUAACGUCAAGUUAGUAAGACCCCUUGAAGACGACGAGGUAGAUAGGGCAGAGGUGGAAGUGUGGUAACACAUGGAGCUGACUGUUACUAAUAGGUCGAGGGCAUAACCAA
rnacentral:rRNA from 1 species